rnacentral:rRNA from 1 species
GACGAACGCUGGCGGCGUGCUUAACACAUGCAAGUCGAACGGAAAGGCCCUGCUUUUGUGGGGUGCUCGAGUGGCGAACGGGUGAGUAACACGUGAGUAACCUGCCCUUGACUUUGGGAUAACUUCAGGAAACUGGGGCUAAUACCGGAUAGGAGCUCCUGCUGCAUGGUGGGGGUUGGAAAGUUUCGGCGGUUGGGGAUGGACUCGCGGCUUAUCAGCUUGUUGGUGGGGUAGUGGCUUACCAAGGCUUUGACGGGUAGCCGGCCUGAGAGGGUGACCGGCCACAUUGGGACUGCGAUACGGCGCAGAAUGCUACGGGAGGCAGCAGUGGGGAAUAUUGCACAAUGGGCGGAAGCCUGAUGCAGCAACGCCGCGUGCGGGAUGACGGCCUUCGGGUUGUAAACCGCUUUCGCCUGUGACGAAGCGUGAGUGACGGUAAUGGGUAAAGAAGCACCGGCUAACUACGUG